UUCUCAUUCACUCUUUCUCUGUUUUCUCCUAUUUUCUCGUGGUAUCAGUGUGGUGAGAAGGAGAUAUGGCAGACAAAGAGAAGAACAUUGGCGACAUUCGCAACUCAGAAAAUUAACAGGAGCUAGCUUCGAGGACAACGAUUGGUUAGGGUAAAGGAAGAGAGGACUAUAUGAAUUUAAACCAUUGGCAUCUCCUACAAAUUGCUUUGCCGUAAUUUCAUCUCAAGACCUAUGGCAUAGGCGGUUUGGUCAUCUUUCAACUUCUCAACUUAGGCUAGUUAAUUCUUAUUUAGGGUUGAAUUACUAUUUAAACAAAGAUGUUUGUUGUAAUGCUUGUCAUGAGCAAAACAAACACGUUUGAAAUUUGAUUUAAGUAAUAUUUCUACUUUGAAGCCUUUUGAAUUGAUU